UGAGUUUCUGUUGAUCUCCAAAGUCCAACACAACAAUCUUGUAAAGCUCAUGGGUUGCUGCAUUAAAGAUGAUGAGAAGUUGAUGCGAAACAAAAGCUUGGAUAUGAUAUUAUUGGUAUGCCCAACUCAGGGGAACUAUUGAUUUCAUUUCUAAUGGCAAUGAGAGGAGCAGUGCUUGAUUGGGCUAAACGCUUCAACAUUAUUCAAGGUGUUGCUAGAGGACUUGUUUAUCUCCACCAUGAUUCCUGUUUGAAGGUGUUGGAUGAGAAGAUGAGCCCAAAAUUUUCAGAUUUUGGAUUCGCACGUAUCUUUCAAGGGACACAGAAUCCAGCAAACACUCAGUCAGAAGGUUGUGGGAACUCUUGUGCGGCUAUAUGUCCCUGGAGUAUGCCUGCCAUGGGCGGGAUAUUUUCUGAAAAAUCUCAUGUAUAUAGCUUCAGGGUCUUGCUAUUGAAGAUUAUUGGUGGCAGAAAAAAUACCAGCUUCUCCUAUAUUUACUUUCCAAAGCUCAGUCUAUCCUCUACCACAGUAUGACAAUAUUUGCUCCGCAAAUGAAGCUACCAUAACACUGCUAAAAGGACGAUAAGCGAUACACCGAUCUGCAAGUGAAAAUCCUUUUCCACUGGACCCGUUGGGAUAGUGGGUUUUCCUUUCAUGGGGAAGCUUUGUUAAAAUGGGCCAAAAACACAUUAUAAGACUGGUGUUAGUAUA